UGGGCGCAGCCUGAUCCAGCCAUGCCGCGUGUGUGAAGAAGGCUUUCGGGUUGUAAAGCACUUUCAGUGGGGAAGAAGGCCUGUCGGUUAAUACCCGGCAGGGACGACAUCACCCACAGAAGAAGCACCGGCUAACUCCGUGCCAGCAGCCGCGGUAAUACGGAGGGUGCGAGCGUUAAUCGGAAUUACUGGGCGUAAAGCGCGCGUAGGCGGCGUGAUAAGCCGGUUGUGAAAGCCCCGGGCUCAACCUGGGAACGGCAUCCGGAACUGUCGCGCUAGAGUGCAGGAGAGGAAGGUAGAAUUCCCGGUGUAGCGGUGAAAUGCGUAGAGAUCGGGAGGAAUACCAGUGGCGAAGGCGGCCUUCUGGACUGACACUGACGCUGAGGUGCGAAAGCGUGGGUAGCAAACAGGAUUAGAUACCCUGGUAGUCCACGCCGUAAACGAUGUCGACUAGCCGUUGGGCGCCUCGAGUGCUUAGUGGCGAAGUUAACGCGAUAAGUCGACCGCCUGGGGAGUACGGCCGCAAGGUUAAAACUCAAAUGAAUUGACGGGGGCCCGCACAAGCGGUGGAGCAUGUGGUUUAAUUCGAUGCAACGCGAAGAACCUUACCUACCCUUGACAUCCUCGGAAUCCGCCAGAGAUGGUGGAGUGCCUUCGGGAGCCGAGUGACAGGUGCUGCAUGGCUGUCGUCAGCUCGUGUUGUGAAAUGUUGGGUUAAGUCCCGUAACGAGCGCAACCCUUGUCCCUAUUUGCCAGCGAUUCGGUCGGGAACUCUAGGGAGACUGCCGGUGACAAACCGGAGGAAGGUGGGGGACGACGUCAAGUCAUCAUGGCCCUUA
rnacentral:rRNA from 1 species